rnacentral:rRNA from 1 species
UACGUAGGGUGCGAGCGUUGUCCGGAAUUACUGGGCGUAAAGAGCUUGUAGGUGGUUUGUCGCGUUGUUCGUGAAAUCUCACGGCUUAACUGUGAGCGUGCGGGCGAUACGGGCAGACUAGAGUACUGCAGGGGAGACUGGAAUUCUCAGUGUAGCGGUGAAAUGCGUAGAUAUCGAGAGGAACACCUGCGGCGAAGGCGGGUUGCUGGGCUGACACUGACGCUGAAGCGCGAAAGCUAGGGGAGCGAACAGG